GAUGAAGAACGUAGCGAAAUGCGAUAAGUAAUGUGAAUUGCAGAAUUCAGUGAAUCAUCGAAUCUUUGAACGCACCUUGCGCUCUUUGGUAUUCCGAAGAGCAUGCCUGUUUGAGUGUCAUGAAAAUAUCAACCUUGACUUGGGUUUUGUGCUCUAGUCUCGGCUUGGAAUUGGGUGCUUGCCGCUUUUACGAGCGGCUCACCUUAAAUGUAUUAGCUGGAUCUGUCUUUGAGACUUGGUUUGACUUGGCGUAAUAAGUAUUUCGCUAAGGACAUUCUUCGGAGUGGCCUCGUUUCUAGGCCGCUUGUCCGCUUUCCAAUACACGUUCCACCUCGUGGACAUGACUUUUUAUUAUCUGGCCUCAAAUCAGGUAGGACUACCCGCUGAACUUAAGCAUAUCAAUAAGCGGAGGA
rnacentral:misc_RNA from 1 species